rnacentral:rRNA from 1 species
AAUGCCGGAUGCUCCAGUUGAUCGCAUGGUCUUCUGGGAAAGCUUUCGCGGUAUGGGAUGGGGUCGCGUCCUAUCAGCUUGACGGCGGGGUAACGGCCCACCGUGGCUUCGACGGGUAGCCGGCCUGAGAGGGCGACCGGCCACAUUGGGACUGAGAUACGGCCCAGACUCCUACGGGAGGCAGCAGUGGGGAAUAUUGCACAAUGGGCGCAAGCCUGAUGCAGCGACGCCGCGUGAGGGAUGGAGGCCUUCGGGUUGUAAACCUCUUUUAUCGGGGAGCAAGCGAGAGUGAGUUUACCCGUUGAAUAAGCACCGGCUAACUACGUGCCAGCAGCCGCGGUAAUACGUAGGGUGCAAGCGUUAUCCGGAAUUAUUGGGCGUAAAGGGCUCGUAGGCGGUUCGUCGCGUCCGGUGUGAAAGUCCAUCGCUUAACGGUGGAUCCGCGCCGGGUACGGGCGGGCUUGAGUGCGGUAGGGGAGACUGGAAUUCCCGGUGUAACGGUGGAAUGUGUAGAUAUCGGGAAAGA